ensembl:lncRNA
AGGCGCAGUCGGAGCGGCCCGUUGCGGUGGGAGGCGGGGCUCAGCCGUCCGGUCAGUCUGCUGGGCGGUCGGCGCGAGGAACCCCACGCGAGUGUAGCUGGUGGUGUAGGACCCAGGCCAUCGCCCGGGAAUGUGUGUCCGUUCUGACCACCGCGCUGCCGGCUGGAGUGUGUGACUGGAGCCCGAGGCUGCUGAGGGGCGGGGUCCGGCCGCGCUUCCGAGAGUCCCCGUGGGGCCAGCAGCUCCCUGCCUCGGGUCGACAGAUUCUCCCUCGUGCCUUUGAGACCCUCGCCUCCCAAAAGUUUAUUAGACAAACCGAGAAGGGACCUGGAAGGUCCUUAAGCCCAAGACAGCAGGUCUCUGCGUGACGCGGGAAAACGGACCUCUGAGGGGCCGCCCCAGCACCUUGCCGGUGGGGAGGGGCGAGCCCACCGGGCUCGGCUGCCCGCCUGCUCUCAGCGCUCACCACUGUUCGCUUUUGCACAUUGAUUACUGUGACAGCUCCAGCCAGUGCCGCCUCUCCCCCAAGCCCUACACCACGAACACCAGGGCUGUGCCAGCCCCGUGUCCCGGUUGCCUGAGCACUGGUGGCAGCUUGUGGAGUGGAUGGAUAAUUGAAUACGUCUGCUGCUGCUAAGUCGCUUCAGUCGUGUCCGACUCUGUGCGACCCCAUAGACUGCAGCCCACUAGGCUCCCCCGUCCCUGGGAUUCUCCAGGCAAGAACACUGGAGUGGGUUGCCAUUUCCUUCUCCAACGCAUGAAAGUGAAAAGUGAAAGUGAAGUCGCUCAGUCGUAUCCGACUCUUAGCGACCCCAUGGACUGCUGCCUACCAGGCUCCUCCGUCCAUUGAAUUUUCCAGGCAAGAGUACUGGAGUGUGAAUACAUCUCCGUUGCGCAAUAUCAAAGCUAUGGUUUUUCCAGUAGUCAUGUAUGGAGGAUGUGAGAGUUGGACCAUAAAGAAGGCUGAGUGCUAAAGAAUUGAUGCUUUCAAACUGUAGUGUUGGAGAAGACUCUUGAGAGUCCCUUGGACAACAAAGAGAUCCAACUAGUCCAUCCUAAAGGAAAUUAGUCCUGAAUAUUCAUUGGAAGGAAUGAUGCUGAAGCUGAAACUCUGAUACUUUGACCACCUGAUGUGAAGAACUGACUCAUUGGAAAAGACCCUGAUGCUGAGAAAGACUGAAGGCGGGGGAAGAAGGGGACGACACAGGAUGAGAUGGUUAGAUGGCAUCACUGACUCAAUGGACAUGAGUUUGGUGGACAGGAAAUGGUGGUGAUGCACAGGGAGGCCUGGCCUGCUGCAGUCCAUGGGGUCACAAAGAGCUGGACACGACUGAACGACUGAACAACAGGCGUUGUGCAUAAGAGGAAGCAGAUUCAGAUGCAAGAUGACUGGGACUCAGUCAGAGCUGUAGAUACAGAGCUGAGUGAGGACUCCAUCAGCUUGGGACCCUUGCUGCUGCUUCCCUUCCUGGGCUUGGGCCAGCGCCAAGGGCGUUUCUUGACCAAGGCCCCACAAACUCUGCAGCACCCACGACACUUGACUCCAUGAGAACACUGCUGCUCCUUUUUUACAUGGAGGGGCCUUCCCAGGAUCUCGGGGAGCCUUGCAGCAAUUUGAAUCAGGGUCUCUGGGCCCCCGGUCCCCAAGGUCAUUCC